UACGAAGGGGGCUAGCGUUGUUCGGAAUUACUGGGCGUAAAGCGCGUGUAGGCGGGUCUUUAAGUCAGGGGGGAAAUGCCAAGGCUCAACCUUGGAACUGCCUUUGAUACUGGAGAUCUUGAGUCCGGGAGAGGUGAGUGGAACUGCGAGUGUAGAGGUGAAAUUCGUAGAUAUUCGCAAGAACACCAGUGGCGAAGGCGGCUUCCUGGACACCAACUGACGCUGAGACGCGAAAGCGUGGGGAGCAAACAGG
rnacentral:rRNA from 1 species